UCUUAUGGAUGAGCAAAGAAAGUGGUUUCUCAUGACGGAAUCUACUCUUGAUGACGAUCCUGUGAU
rnacentral:pre_miRNA from 1 species